GAUGAACGUUGGCGGCGUGCCUAAUACAUGCAAGUCGAGCGAACGGACGAGAAGCUUGCUUCUCUGAUGUUAGCGGCGGACGGGUGAGUAACACGUGGAUAACCUACCUAUAAGACUGGGAUAACUUCGGGAAACCGGAGCUAAUACCGGAUAAUAUUUUGAACCGCAUGGUUCAAAAGUGAAAGACGGUCUUGCUGUCACUUAUAGAUGGAUCCGCGCUGCAUUAGCUAGUUGGUAAGGUAACGGCUUACCAAGGCAACGAUGCAUAGCCGACCUGAGAGGGUGAUCGGCCACACUGGAACUGAGACACGGUCCAGACUCCUACGGGAGGCAGCAGUAGGGAAUCUUCCGCAAUGGGCGAAAGCCUGACGGAGCAACGCCGCGUGAGUGAUGAAGGUCUUCGGAUCGUAAAACUCUGUUAUUAGGGAAGAACAUAUGUGUAAGUAACUGUGCACAUCUUGACGGUACCUAAUCAGAAAGCCACGGCUAACUACGUGCCAGCAGCCGCGGUAAUACGUAGGUGGCAAGCGUUAUCCGGAAUUAUUGGGCGUAAAGCGCGCGUAGGCGGUUUUUUAAGUCUGAUGUGAAAGCCCCACGGCUCAACCGUGGAGGGUCAUUGGAAACUGGAAAACUUGAGUGCAGAAGAGGAAAGUGGAAUUCCAUGUGUAGCGGUGAAAUGCGCAGAGAUAUGGAGGAACACCAGUGGCGAAGGCGACUUUCUGGUCUGUAACUGACGCUGAUGUGCGAAAGCGUGGGGAUCAAACAGGAUUAGAUACCCUGGUAGUCCACGCCGUAAACGAUGAGUGCUAAGUGUUAGGGGGUUUCCGCCCCUUAGUGCUGCAGCUAACGCAUUAAGCACUCCGCCUGGGGAGUACGACCGCAAGGUUGAAACUCAAAGGAAUUGACGGGGACCCGCACAAGCGGUGGAGCAUGUGGUUUAAUUCGAAGCAACGCGAAGAACCUUACCAAAUCUUGACAUCCUUUGACAACUCUAGAGAUAGAGCCUUCCCCUUCGGGGGGGCAAAGUGACAGGUGGUGCAUGGUUGUCGUCAGCUCGUGUCGCGAGAUGUUGGGUUAAGUCCCGCAACGAGCGCAACCCUUAAGCUUAGUUGCCAUCAUUAAGUUGGGCACUCUAAGUUGACUGCCGGUGACAAACCGGAGGAAGGUGGGGAUGACGUCAAAUCAUCAUGCCCCUUAUGAUUUGGGCUACACACGUGCUACAAUGGACAAUACAAAGGGCAGCGAAACCGCGAGGUCAAGCAAAUCCCAUAAAGUUGUUCUCAGUUCGGAUUGUAGUCUGCAACUCGACUACAUGAAGCUGGAAUCGCUAGUAAUCGUAGAUCAGCAUGCUACGGUGAAUACGUUCCCGGGUCU
rnacentral:rRNA from 1 species